GACGAACGCUGGCGGCGUGCUUAACACAUGCAAGUCGAACGGUGACGAAUGGAGCUUGCUCUGUUCUGAUCAGUGGCGAACGGGUGAGUAACACGUGAGUAACCUGCCCCUGACUCUGGAAUAACUUCGGGAAACCGAAGCUAAUACCGGAUAUGACACAGAGCCGCAUGGUUUCUGUGUGGAAAGUUUUUCGGUUGGGGAUGGACUCGCGGCCUAUCAGCUUGUUGGUGAGGUAAUGGCUCACCAAGGCGACGACGGGUAGCCGGCCUGAGAGGGCGACCGGCCACACUGGGACUGAGACACGGCCCAGACUCCUACGGGAGGCAGCAGUGGGGAAUA
rnacentral:rRNA from 1 species